UGCGGAAGGAUCAUUAUUGAAAUAAACUUGGUGUGGGUUGCAGCUGGCCUUUGGGCAUGUGCUCACCUUCAUCAUCUUUAUAUUUCCACCUGUGCACCUUUUGUAGACAGGAAAGACAAGGGAAUUUAUUGUGGUGCCAUUUUAGGCCCCCAUUUAUUUCUUGUGUAUUCCUUGUCUAUGUUUUUAUAUACCCCAAAAAUGUAACAGAAUGUUAAUCUAUGGGCCUUUGUGCUUAUAAACAAAAAUUAUACAACUUUCAGCAACGGAUCUCUUGGCUCUCGCAUCGAUGAAGAACGCAGCGAAAUGCGAUAAGUAAUGUGAAUUGCAGAAUUCAGUGAAUCAUCGAAUCUUUGAACGCACCUUGCGCUCCUUGGUAUUCCGAGGAGCAUGCCUGUUUGAGUGUCAUUAAAUUAUCAAAAAAAGAUCUUCAAUGCUCUUGUUUUGGAUGUGAGGGUUUUUGUUGGCGAAAGUCGACUCCCUUGAAAUGUAUUAGCUUGGUUGACUAGACUUUGUCUAUUGGUGUGAUAAUUAUCUACGCCAUUGGAUUGUCUGCUUGUCAAACUGCUUCUAAUUGUCCCUUUAGGGACUCUAUUAAAUGACCAUUUGACCUCAAAUCAGGUAGGACUACCCGCUGAACUUAAGCAUAUCA
rnacentral:rRNA from 1 species